CGGCAGCUUACACAUGCAGUCGAACGGCAGCACGAGAGAGCUUGCUCUCUUGGUGGCGAGUGGCGGACGGGUGAGUAAUAUAUCGGAACGUGCCCAGUAGCGGGGGAUAACUACUCGAAAGAGUGGCUAAUACCGCAAACACCCUACGGGGGAAAGGGGGGGAUUCUUCGGAACCUCUCGCUAUUGUAGCGUGCCGAUUUAUGAAUAGCCUCGUUGGUGGGGUAAAGGCUUGCGAGGCAACGAUUCGUAGCUGCGCUUUGAUGACGACGCACCAGCCGCACUGGGACUGAGACACGGCCCAAACGCCAACCGGACGCAACACUGCGGAAUUUUGGACAUUGGGGGAAACCCUGAUGCAACCAUCCUGUGAGUAUGAUGAACGCCUUCAGUUUGUAAAGUACUUUUGGCGGAGAACUAAUAUGUAUCUCCAAAAACAAGGAUACUGCUUAACGGUAUCUGCCCAAGAAGCUCCGUCACAACUACGUGCCAGCAGCCUCCGUGAUACGUAGCGGUGCAAGUAUUAAUGUGAAUUACUGUUGUCUAGAUUUUGUGUAGGCAGUUCGGAAACAAGCAUGUGUAAUCCCUGGGCUCAACCUUGGAACUGCAUUUUUAACUGCGGAGCUUGGAGUAUGUCAGAAGGUGGUAGAAUUCCACGUGUGGCAAUGAAAUGCGUAGAUAUCUGGAGGAAUACAUAUUUGCGAAAGCAGCCCCCUGGGAUAAUACUGACUCUCACACACGAAAACGCUGAGGAGCAGACAGCGAUUAGAUACUCAUGGUAGUCGAGGCCCUAGACGAUCUCCACUAUCUUUGGGAGCGUUACGUCUUUAGUAGCGCACCUCACGUCGUGAACUUCACCACCCGGAGGAGUACGGUCGCCAGGAUUAAAACUCACACGAAUUGGGGGGGGACCCGCGAUAUUCAGUUGGAUGAUGUAGAAUAAAUACGAUACCACGC
rnacentral:rRNA from 1 species